rnacentral:lncRNA from 1 species
AUCCUUCUUAUGCUGGGUAGGCUAGAGCUACCAGGUUCAGCAAAGAAAAAGUGCAAAGAGAAUAAAACCAUUCCUCCAAAUGCUGGCCACAUGAGCUUCUCUGAAAACCUUCCAUCGGUUUCAGAAUUAAUGCUUUAAUUAUUUUUGUGAGUAGUAGAGAUGUAACAUAUGGCCCAGUCCCAGUUCUCAGGACCAUUCCAAAGAAAUGUUUCUAGCUCCUCCGAACCAUGAAAUGUCUACUUCCCAUUUUUUGGACCCACAAAGAGCGAGAUCCUGGGUGUCAGGGCAAAUUCUUCUACCCAGGGAUCCAGGGGGAGGCUGACUCCUUGGCUAGAACCCCAGGACAUGCUCACUAGCAUUUCUGAUGCCUGUAGCUAGUCUAACUUUAAACUCUUGGGAAGGAACCAUUUCUUUGGUGUCUGGCUACAGUAGAGCACUAGAUAACUGGAAAGUGAAGGAUUUGGUCCUGGGUGCUUCCUGGCAAGCUCUCUGGUUCCACUUCUACAGAAAUUUUAUUCAGAAAAUUGCUGUAGGCUUAGAGUAGAACACCAAGAAAUUCAGAAUGGGGUGGCCUGGUGAUUCACUAUUGAAAACCAUUUUUAAAAAUCACUCAAUGUCUUCACUCUCUGGGGACCACGGAAGUGGUAGCUAAUUAUGCUGGCCCGUUGCUUCAAUAUUUGAUACUCUGUUUAGCUUAUUUUAUUCAUACGUUCGGUACCAUUUUUCUUUCUCAAGUUACAGUUUUUGUCCAAGAAAAUAUUUUAAAUUGGGUAUUUUUUUUUUUUUUGCACUUUACUCUGUUUUAUCUACUUCUUGCCCUUCCAUAUCCCAAAGAGAAGAUGCUCUGGCAAAGGGCUGUCAGCUCAUGCCAUCCGCAACCGACUUGCCAGGUUCUGGAAGUUGCCGAGGGCUGCCUGGGCAGCCGUCCAAGGACACCAGACCACUCCGCUCGUAUCUCUGCUUACUUCCUGCGCUGAGGGAAAAAAACGCUUGCUCUCCUGGGUCCUCCGGCCGGAUCAGACUACCCGCGUCUUUCAGAUGCUGCUGCUGCUGCUCUUGGAUUACGGUACAGCGUGCGCAGCCAGGGCUCCCAUUCAUCCGCUGCCUUCCGCCGGAACAAAGUGGCUCCCCAUUGCGCCAGGGGUCUCGGAGCGAGGCCCGCGAGAGUGCAAAUACCUUCACUCACACUUAACAGCACCACUGGAAAAAUAACUACCAAGCCGGGUCCCUGAGAGCCCCUAAAUGAGCCUUCGGAUUUGGAACUGGUGUUGUUCGGCGGGUUGCACACGCCAGGGACUAAUUUGUACAGGCGCUAAUUGGUCCUCCAUUUGUUCUGAAACCAAACCGAGAGGGUUC